rnacentral:rRNA from 1 species
UACGUAGGGUGCGAGCGUUAAUCGGAAUUACUGGGCGUAAAGCGUGCGCAGGCGGUAAUGUAAGACAGAUGUGAAAUCCCCGGGCUUAACCUGGGACCUGCAUUUGUGACUGCAUUGCUGGAGUGCGGCAGAGGGGGAUGGAAUUCCGCGUGUAGCAGUGAAAUGCGUAGAUAUGCGGAGGAACACCAGUGGCGAAGGCGACUACCUGGUCUGGCAUUGACGCUCAUGUGCGAAAGCGUGGGGAGCAAACAGG